ACCGGAUCAUCUUCUGUGUCUUCUUAGAAGUUGACUUUAAAAUCUACAGAAAGAAAAUGGGCGAGUUUUUCCCUGCAGAUGAUAAUAAUGAAGACGAUGUUAACGUGAAAGAAGAUUCAGAGGUGUUAGAGCCAAAAGGCCUCUCUCCACCCCACAAGAAGAGCAAAGCAAAGAAGCCAGAGGGUUCCAAAGACUCUAGCGAA